rnacentral:lncRNA from 1 species
GACGAGUAAAAUUUACAGAUUUUCCAUGCCCAAUAAAAAUGUGCAAAACCGAAUUUCAUCUAUUUUCUUGCUUCUACCGGGCAACCAAACGAAGAAUUGAAGCGACGGAGAUUGGAGAAGGUACCUGGUAACCGAUAAACAAAAGAAUCGGAGAAUGAAUGGAGUAUAAACCCUAGGAAUAUGCAGGAAUUCCGAAAGCUGCCGAUCUUUAGAGGAUGUCUCUUCUUUGCAAGCACAAGGAAUGCGUGCAACCGAGGAACAAACGAUACAUAAAAGCUUCGAUUGGGCAAAAGUGGUUGGUGGUGUUUGCAGGCGGAAGGCAAAAACGUGUUUUUCUCGCUGUUUAUACGGUGCGUGGCAAACGGUGCCUUACGGCUUGCCACUCCACGUCAUCAACACGUCGAUCCUGUGGGUCCCACCGGAUUCAACGGGGCACGAACCAAAUCUAAUAGAAA